UCGUGCUAGAUGGGGAGCCAGCGGUGCCCUCUCGGCUCAACAGAGCCGUGCCCGCAACCCGCUAUAGCGGGGUCGAACUCCUCCCUUAGGGUCCGGUUCCCUGAGCCUGCCAAAGAUAAGCAGCGUUGAGGAUUGGGUCCGACGCGGCGGCAGACUUCGAACCUUGUCAGGGCCGGAAGGCAGCAGCAAUAAGGAGACCCUGUCGGGUGUCGUCGGGUAGCUUGGUCUGAGCUGGCUAUCGGCGGUAAGUCGUGGGGCCAGGCACGAAGGGGGGUGCACGA
rnacentral:SRP_RNA from 1 species